rnacentral:lncRNA from 1 species
AAGAAUCUACAGGUCGAGCAAGUCUCGUAAAUUUCACGAUUGCGAGCCACGCUUCACGCAACCGUGUUUGCGUACUUGUGUUUCGAGUUGCGUGGUCGUGCGGAGCUAUAUUUACCAAAUUAAUCGUUUCUACUGAUUCAUAAUAAUUAAAUCAAUAUGUCAAUAUGGCUACUGGAUGUAAAAGAUAAAUUUAUUCUAUCUGUUCUUAAUGAGUUUUAGAUAAUUUUAGUUGUAUUUCUUUGUAAUUUUGUGUUGUACAAAGAUUAAUUUAACAUUUUCUCUGGAAGUAUUAAUUUAGAAAGAUAAUAUUAUGCUUCAUUGGUGUUGUGUUUUGAAGUGUGAAAUGCAAAGUAUGUAAUUGUGAUAAAGUCAAGAUAAAGUUCACUUUUAAACUGAACUAAAGAAGGUAUCUGAGAGACAACAAUGGUUAAAUGCAAUACAAUGUACAGGUUUUGCUAGCGAAAUGAAAAUUUUCCUGUCCUGUCUGCUGUAAUCAUUUUAUAUCUGGAAAACCAGCCGACUUAAUCGAUAAUAUCAAUCUCCAGAUUGGGUUCCUUCAAUAAAUAUGGGCUAUAAACACAAUGAAAUAAGUUCCCCAAAAUCUAAAAUGGAGUGGUAUCAAAGGAGAAUUAAAGGGAAAAAUAUUCAUAUUGAAAUUAUUUAUAAGGCACUGGACUGUCUUAAAUUCUACAAUAAUACUAGAAUCAGCUGAGAGAAGUGGUCUACAAAAAACCAGGAAGGAAACGGAAUAUGUGGCUACGAAAGGCAAAAGAAAGGUUUACAAAGCAAAUGUGACACAUUUUUUUGAAAUAUUUAGGAAUAUCAGUAAAUUGCAUUAAAAAAAUGUAUGAAAAGAUUUUGUUCAAUAAAAAUGUUUAUAAGUA